GUAAUACCCUGGUCCCUGCUCAACAAGUGAAGCUUUUAAUAUAGCCUGAGUUAUAAAAAAAAUAGUCAUGAUCAGUUUGUCUGCGAAGUUAGACUGCUACCGAACCUAAAACAUGUAGGCUAACACAUUCUCUUCUUAUCGGGACAUGGGUGACUUUGUUAGUAGCUUAUUUCCAAUGGCGCAGAACGAGACGAACUGAAGCUUGUCAUGAUGAGAUUCAUUUGAAUGACAUGAGGAGUGGCUGAAACAUGGAUCAACAAGCCAACACAAAACAGGACGGCAGCCUAAAGGGGCAAAGCUCACUCCAUCAUGAGAGGCCUCCAUCACCUGUGCCCACUUGUGUGUCCAUGAAGAGUGACCAGUCACAGGAUCGUGGGAUAACCUUCAAACAUGAUGUCACAGAUGGAUCAAG